AGAGUUUGAUCCUGGCUCAGAUUGAACGCUGGCGGCAUGCCUUACACAUGCAAGUCGAACGGCAGCACGGGGGCAACCCUGGUGGCGAGUGGCGAACGGGUGAGUAAUACAUCGGAACGUGUCCUGUAGUGGGGGAUAGCCCGGCGAAAGCCGGAUUAAUACCGCAUACGCUCUACGGAGGAAAGGGGGGGAUCUUAGGACCUCUCGCUACAGGGGCGGCCGAUGGCAGAUUAGCUAGUUGGUGGGGUAAAGGCCUACCAAGGCGACGAUCUGUAGCUGGUCUGAGAGGACGACCAGCCACACUGGGACUGAGACAUGGCCCAGACUCCUACGGGAGGCAGCAGUGGGGAAUUUUGGACAAUGGGCGCAAGCCUGAUCCAGCAAUGCCGCGUGUGUGAAGAAGGCCUUCGGGUUGUAAAGCACUUUUGUCCGGAAAGAAAACUUCUGCCCUAAUACGGCGGGAGGAUGACGGUACCGGAAGAAUAAGCACCGGCUAACUACGUGCCAGCAGCCGCGGUAAUACGUAGGGUGCAAGCGUUAAUCGGAAUUACUGGGCGUAAAGCGUGCGCAGGCGGUUCGCUAAGACAGAUGUGAAAUCCCCGGGCUUAACCUGGGAACUGCAUUUGUGACUGGCGGGCUAGAGUAUGGCAGAGGGGGGUAGAAUUCCACGUGUAGCAGUGAAAUGCGUAGAGAUGUGGAGGAAUACCGAUGGCGAAGGCAGCCCCCUGGGCCAAUACUGACGCUCAUGCACGAAAGCGUGGGGAGCAAACAGGAUUAGAUACCCUGGUAGUCCACGCCCUAAACGAUGUCAACUAGUUGUCGGGUCUUCAUUGACUUGGUAACGUAGCUAACGCGUGAAGUUGACCGCCUGGGGAGUACGGUCGCAAGAUUAAAACUCAAAGGAAUUGACGGGGACCCGCACAAGCGGUGGAUGAUGUGGAUUAAUUCGAUGCAACGCGAAAAACCUUACCUACCCUUGACAUGUAUGGAACCUGGCUGAGAGGUCGGGGUGCCCGAAAGGGAGCCAUAACACAGGUGCUGCAUGGCUGUCGUCAGCUCGUGUCGUGAGAUGUUGGGUUAAGUCCCGCAACGAGCGCAACCCUUGUCCCUAGUUGCUACGCAAGAGCACUCUAGGGAGACUGCCGGUGACAAACCGGAGGAAGGUGGGGAUGACGUCAAGUCCUCAUGGCCCUUAUGGGUAGGGCUUCACACGUCAUACAAUGGUCGGAACAGAGGGUCGCCAACCCGCGAGGGGGAGCCAAUCCCAGAAAACCGAUCGUAGUCCGGAUCGCACUCUGCAACUCGAGUGCGUGAAGCUGGAAUCGCUAGUAAUCGCGGACCAGCAUGCCGCGGUGAAUACGUUCCCGGGUCUUG
rnacentral:rRNA from 1 species